CAGAUCAAUAGUUCUUUCUUUCAUACUUUUUGAUAUAAAACAUCCAACCUGUUAGAGAGAAGUGGACUUGACCCAUCAUUCUGAACUUCUCAAUUACAAAUAGGAGUAACACAGCAGAUUACGGCACCGGAAGAAAGAUGAACUACAUUAUUGAGACCAGAGUAAAAAACGGCCGUUUUAUUUGUAAUUAUUAAGAAGUACCUCUUUUUGAAGUACCUCUUAUUCUUAGAUUGAUGUGCAUGCAGAAAAGAAAUAAGGGACUAAUACAUACCUGAUAUCCAUUUGGAAACACAUAUGUAUGUAUGUAAAUCAACCAUAAAUGAAUGAUAACACCAGACGGUUACAAACGUUAUUAAUUCCUUAUCAUGUACUUAAAUGUUUACGCGUAUAUUUAU